rnacentral:rRNA from 1 species
CGUGUAGGCGGUACGGCAAGCGGCGUGUGAAAUCCCGAAGCUCAACUUCGGAACUGCACGCCGAACUUCCGUGCUAGAGGACAGGAGGGGGAUGUGGAACUCUAGGUGUAGCGGUGAAAUGCGUAGAUAUCUAGAGGAACGCCGGUGGCGAAAGCGACAUCCUGGCCUGUAUCUGACGCUGAGGCGCGAAAGCGUGGGUAGCAAACA